CCAAUAGCGUAUAUUAAAGUUGUUGCAGUUAAAAAGCUCGUAGUUGAAUUUCGGAAUCUGUCCGUUGGUCGGGCUUUAUUGUGCGUGCUGAUGUGAUGGGUUCUUACCUUCUGAAUAACCAGCAUGUCAUUAAUUUGGUGUGUUGGGGAAGCAGGACUAUUACCUUGAAAAAAUUAGAGUGCUCAAAGCAGGCUAGUGCCUAAAUACAUUAGCAUGGAAUAAUAAAAUAGGACGGCAUGGUUCUAUUUUGUUGGUUUCUAGGAUCACCGUAAUGAUUAAUAGGGAUAGUUGGGGGCACUAGUAUUCAAUUGUCAGAGGUGAAAUUCUUGGAUUUAUUGAAGACUAACUUCUGCGAAAGCAUUUGCCAAGGAUGUUUUCAUUAAUCAAGAACGAAAGUUAGGGGAUCGAAGACGAUCAGAUACCGUCGUAGUCUUAACCAUAAACUAUGCCGACUAGGGAUCGGACGAUGUUAAUUUUUUAAUGACUCGUUCGGCGCCUUACG
rnacentral:rRNA from 1 species